AUACUUACCUGGCAGAGGAAAUACCAUGAUCAUGAAGGUGGUUUUCCCAGGGCGAGGCUUACCCAUUGCACUCCGGAUGUGCUGACCCCUGCGAUUUCCUCAAAUGUGGGAAACUCGGCUGCAUCAUUUCUGGUAGUGGGGGACUGCAUUCGCACUUUCCCCUG